UAAAUCCAUAUCCGGACAGGUGGCCUUUAGCAAUAAAGGCUGAAAAGGGAAACCGGUGCGAAUCCGGUGCGAUCGCGUCACUGUGAGGGGAAGCCCCCCUGCAAGGUGCCACUGUCCGACACUUGAUAUCCCGCGGAGGGCCGGAGCCGGCUCAAGAAGGCAUCCGCUCCCGACUGCAGAAGGGGAUAUUGGGUGCUGGAUGGGAAGGCGCAGGGUGGGAAUGCACCCGAGCCAGGAAACCUGCCUGUACCGGGGACACCGA
rnacentral:ncRNA from 2 species